CUGGUAUUGGCCAAAGUUGGUAAGGCUCUACAUUUGGGAUGUAGUAAUUAGAGGUUCAAAUCCUUUAUACCAGACCA
rnacentral:tRNA from 1 species